rnacentral:rRNA from 1 species
CCUACGGGGGGCAGCAGUGAGGAAUAUUGGUCAAUGGACGAGAGUCUGAACCAGCCAAGUAGCGUGAAGGAUGACUGCCCUAUGGGUUGUAAACUUCUUUUAUAUGGGAAUAAAACGUUCCACGUGUGGGAUUUUGUAUGUACCAUAUGAAUAAGGAUCGGCCAACUCCGUGCCAGCAGCCGCGGUAAUACGGAGGAUCCGAGCGUUAUCCGGAUUUAUUGGGUUUAAAGGGAGCGUAGGUGGAUUGUUAAGUCAGUUGUGAAAGUUUGCGGCUCAACCGUAAAAUUGCAGUUGAAACUGGCAGUCUUGAGUACAGUAGAGGUGGGCGGAAUUCGUGGUGUAGCGGUGAAAUGCUUAGAUAUCACGAAGAACUCCGAUUGCGAAGGCAGUUCACUGGACUGCAACUGACACUGAGGCUCGAAAGUGUGGGUAUCAAACAGGAUUAGAUACCCCAGUAGUC